AACGACUCUCGGCAACGGAUAUCUCGGCUCUCGCAUCGAUGAAGAACGUAGCGAAAUGCGAUACUUGGUGUGAAUUGCAGAAUCCCGUGAACCAUCGAGUCUUUGAACGCAAGUUGCGCCCGAAGGCAUUAGGUUGAGGGCACGUCUGCCUGGGCGUCAC
rnacentral:rRNA from 1 species